GACGAACGCUGGCGGCGUGCUUAACACAUGCAAGUCGAACGGAAAGGCCCUGCUCUUGUGGGGUGCUCGAGUGGCGAACGGGUGAGUAACACGUGAGUAACCUGCCCUUGACUUUGGGAUAACUUCAGGAAAAUGGGGCUAAUACCGGAUAGGAGCUCCUGCUGCAUGGUGGGGGAUGGAGAGUUUCGGCGGUUGGGGAUGGACUCGCGGCUUAUCAGCUUGUUGGUGGGGUAGGGGCUUACCAAGGCUUUGACGGAUAGCCGGCCUGAGAGGGUGACCGGCCACAUUGGGACUGAGAGACGGCCCAGUCUCCAACGGGAGGCAGCAGGGGAGAAUAUUGCGGAAUGGGCGGAAGCGUGAUGCAGCAACGCCGCGUUCGGGAUGACGGCCUUCGGGUUGUAAACCGCUUUCGCCUGUGACGAAGCGUGAGUGACGGUAAUGGGUAAAGAAGCACCGGCUAACUACGUG
rnacentral:rRNA from 1 species